rnacentral:lncRNA from 1 species
CGCGCGGGCGCGCGUACGCGUACGGACUCUCCGGCGGACAGCUGAUCACCAGCUGCCGUCGCGUGCCGAUUACGUUUGCAGCUGCCGCGUCCCCUCACCAACGGCACAACUUGUGAGCUUCUCCUCGUCGACGCCCAAACGCGGUUCGGUAAUAACGGUGAAAAAAUUGUUGACGGUAAAAAAAGAAACGAAACGGAACGCGCGAAACUGGUUCCGGUGCUGACGGGCGCUGAACAAACGGACAAGCGGUUGUUUCUAACAUCCACCCCUCAAGCACGGUUAUAUGUGUACAGCUGUGAACAGACUUGCUCGGAACACACGCGCACGUACGAGUAUCUCGUAUGUAUAUGCACUGCAAUGUAAUUUUUGGUUUCGUACAAAUCAUGCGUAAUCGCGCGUGAAAAAUUGAAAAAAAAUCUACUAGCAAACACUUCCCGCAACGUUCGCGACCAGGUACAAAUCGGAAAAUGUAAACGCGAAUUAACGAACGAAAAACGGUCCCACACGAAAUCUGAUCGGGAACGAUAUAAAUUGCUCCGUCGCGGUUUCUGGUCUCAGGUUCAUCCGGCGCAACAGCGGAAUCCCCGUGCCGCCGUACCCAAGAGACACAUGGGUACUCCACUGCCCGCUGCAUAAGUGCAAAGCCAGAUACUGUUCAAUGUUUCAAGGAUAUACAAAUCUGAACUCCAUAAUCGUAAUACGACAUAAUACUUAUCGUGAUAAUAUCGUUAAUAUAAAUAUUAACUCGAAUCCGUUUGGUUCGCAAUGAAUAGUUAGUGUUAUUAUAUACAUAUUUAUAUAAUAUAUAGUAAUACUAUAUACAUAGUAUCUUCGCGAGUAUCACCUAACUAUUCAAACGAUUUGAACAGUGCAUAGACCGUAGUACCAGGCUUCUGGACGCAAGAUCAAUUCAGAAUGGUCGUUUCAAGAAGUAUUUUUUGUUGGGAAAAUGAGGAUUUUCUAGGAAAAAUAUGUAGGUAUGAUCAGACGGCAUAAUAAAUGAAUAAAAAUUAUGUGGAUUUCAUUGUCGUUUUAUUUUGCGGUUACUAAAAUCCAUCUGGCUUUGAAGCUAAAUUACAAUAAUACAAAUGAAUACGGUUACCUUGACAGACUACAGCAAAUGGCUUAGCAAAAUGUGUGACUGAUAUAAUUAUAAAUAAAAUAUGACAUCAUAAAAUCCUUGAACGCACAUAGUGUCGAAGUCGAAAAGAUACAUACGAUUCGUGCGCGAAAUACUCUAAUGUACUUACAUCAUGAACGUCUCGUUUACAUUUCUAAGUUUGAGAUUUUUUUAGCGGUUCCAAAUUAACAUUAGUGUAUUACACAAUUGAUGGUGAUAUUAUACACCAGUCGACGAUGAGAGUAUUUCGAACAAGUGUCAUGUGCAUACAUAUUAUAAUGUCACGGGCAUACAUUAUAUCACAUAAUGUUAAAAACAUAUAUAAAUACUGUAUCGAUUGCGUUACAAUAACACAAUGAUUCCACUAUGGCGGGCAUGUAUAGUAAUUACACACUGUGGUAUACAGUUAGGAAUAUAAUAAUCAGAAUGCACUCUUAACCAUAACAUAAGGGUGUUACAAUCAAUGCAUUUAUUUUCAAUACUUGGAUACACAUGAGUAACAAGGAAUGAGAAACACAGGAGUGGACAAUAGUAAAUAUAUUAAUAUAAUGACUAACCGAAUGGACCAGUUAAUGAUGAGUAUAAAUCACGUAUGAUUAUUAUUUUAUACAUAUUAUAUGCGACAAAUAAUCAGUAGUUACACGUAUGAAUUAUUAAA